GGCGAACGGGUGAGUAACGCGUAGGAAUCUACCCAAGAGUGGGGGACAACCCGGAGAAAUCCGGGCUAAUACCGCAUACGCCCUACGGGGUAAAGUGGGGGAGCUUUUCGGAGCCCUCAUGCUUUUGGAUGAGCCUGCGUCGGAUUAGCUGGUUGGUGAGGUAACGGCUCACCAAGGCGACGAUCCGUAGCUGGUCUGAGAGGAUGACCAGCCACACUGGGACUGAGACACGGCCCAGACUCCUACGGGAGGCAGCAGUGGGGAAUAUUGGACAAUGGGGGCAACCCUGAUCCAGCCAUGCCGCGUGUGUGAAGAAGGCCCUAGGGUUGUAAAGCACUUUCAGUGGGGAAGAAAAGCCUGAGGAUAAUACCCUCGGGUUAUGACGGUACCUACAGAAGAAGCACCGGCUAAUUCCGUGCCAGCAGCCGCGGUAAUACGGAAGGUGCAAGCGUUAAUCGGAAUUACUGGGCGUAAAGCGCGCGUAGGCGGUCUGAUAAGUCGGGUGUGAAAGCCCCGGGCUCAACCUGGGAACUGCAUUCGAUACUGUCUGACUAGAGUGUGAUAGAGGGAGGCGGAAUUCC
rnacentral:rRNA from 1 species